rnacentral:rRNA from 1 species
UGGGGAAUUGUUCACAAUGGGCGCAAGCCUGAUGACGCAACGCCGCGUGGGGGAUGAAGGUCUUCGGAUUGUAAACCCCUGUCGAACGGGACAAAAGACUCGCGAGCUAAUCAUCGCGGGAGUGACGGUACCGUUAAAGGAAGCCACGGCUAACUCUGUGCCAGCAGCCGCGGUAAUACAGAGGUGGCAAGCGUUGUUCGGAAUUACUGGGCGUAAAGGGCGAGUAGGUGGCCAUCUAAGUCAGACGUGAAAUCCCCCGGCUUAACCUGGGAACUGCGUCUGAUACUGGACGGGCUUGAGUAUGGGAGAGGAACGUAGAAUUCCAGGUGUAGCGGUGAAAUGCGUAGAUAUCUGGAGGAAUACCGGUGGCGAAGGCGGCGUUCUGGACCAUUACUGACACUGAAUCGCGAAAGCUAGGGGAGCAAA